rnacentral:rRNA from 1 species
UACGUAGGGCGCAAGCGUUGUCCGGAAUUAUUGGGCGUAAAGAGCUCGUAGGCGGUUUGUCGCGUCUGCUGUGAAAGCCCGGGGCUUAACCCCGGGUCUGCAGUGGGUACGGGCAGACUGGAGUGCAGUAGGGGAGACUGGAAUUCCUGGUGUAGCGGUGAAAUGCGCAGAUAUCAGGAAGAACACCCGUGGCUAAGGCGGCUCUCUAGUACGGUACUGACGCUGAGACGCGAAAGCGUGGGGAGCAAACAGG